UACGUAGGGUGCGAGCGUUAAUCGGAAUUACUGGGCGUAAAGUGUGCGCAGGCGGCAGAGCAAGUCGAGUGUGAAAGCCCCGGGCUUAACUUGGGAAUUGCGCUCGAAACUACUUUGCUGGAGUGUGGCAGAGGAAGGUGGAAUUCCACGUGUAGCGGUGAAAUGCGUAGAGAUGUGGAGGAACACCAGUGGCGAAGGCGGCUUUCUGGUCUGUAACUGACGCUGAGGCGCGAAAGCGUGGGGAGCGAACAGG
rnacentral:rRNA from 1 species